GUAGGGGGCGAGCGUUGUCCGGAUUUAUUGGGCGUAAAGAGCUCGUAGGCGGCUCAGCAAGUCGGCCGUGAAAGCCUGAGGCUCAACCUCAGGACGCCGGUCGAAACUGCUGUGGCUAGGGUCCGGUAGAGGAGAGUGGAAUUCCCGGUGUAGCGGUGAAAUGCGCAGAUAUCGGGAGGAACACCAGUAGCGAAGGCGGCUCUCUGGGCCGGUACCGACGCUGAGGAGCGAAAGCUAGGGGAGCAAACAGGGAUUAGAUACCCUGGUAGUCCUAGCCGUAAACGUUGGGUACUAGGUGUGGCGGAUUCAUUGACAUCUGCCGUGCCGAAGCUAACGCAUUAAGUACCCCCGCCUGGGGAGUACGGUCGCAAGGCUA
rnacentral:rRNA from 1 species